ACUAUAUCUUGAGCUAUCAUUUUUUUUUAAUUCAACUGGACUAUCAUUUUUCUUAUCUUGCGUAUGGAAACUAAUUUAAUUCAACAUUUGUAAAAGUCAUGAAACUAAUAUUUUAAAAGAUUCUUGCGUUUUUGGCUGCGGUUUUGUUGAUGGUGAUGUCGGCGUUGAAAGCAGAUUUGUGGGAGAGAUAUGGGUAUGAGAUGGAGAGAGAUGAGACCGAUGGUUUGAUGAUGUAUGGGUGAAAGUACUCAGCUUGGUCGCAGUUUUUGAGAGUGAAGUUUUGGAAGAAGGAGUUCGUAGGGAGAGGAGAUGAAAGGAGAUCGGGAAGAGAGAAACAAAUUGUUUCUUAAUUUAUUUGUCUUGAGCAAGACAUUUCUUGAGGCGGUGGUGAUGAGUAAGAGGAGGAGCGACGACAAUUAGAGAGAGGAAAAGGAAGAAGAGAGAUAACGAGGGCGACGCCAAUUAGAGAGAGGAGAAGGAAGAAGAGAGAUAACUGGGGUUAACGUCCGGUUUAACAUUGUUAAUAAAAAACCGAUAAUUUUUUAUUAAUAAUUAAUUAGAUAAGCACGAUAAAAUUGGAAUUUGAAUUUUGUUGUAAAAUCGUAGGUAUUAAACUAACAACACUUAUUGUUUUAGGUUUUAAAUGACAUAUUUUUAUUAUUUCAUGCACUUUUAUUCUAAUCCAAAACAGUUGGGUAUUAAACGUCCAAAUAAAAAUAAUUUUGGAUCUU